rnacentral:rRNA from 1 species
GAUGAACGCUGGCGGCGUGCCUAAUACAUGCAAGUCGAGCGAACAGACGAGGAGCUUGCUCCUCUGACGUUAGCGGCGGACGGGUGAGUAACACGUGGAUAACCUACCUAUAAGACUGGGAUAACUUCGGGAAACCGGAGCUAAUACCGGAUAAUAUAUUGAACCGCAUGGUUCAAUAGUGAAAGACGGUUUUGCUGUCACUUAUAGAUGGAUCCGCGCCGCAUUAGCUAGUUGGUAAGGUAACGGCUUACCAAGGCAACGAUGCGUAGCCGACCUGAGAGGGUGAUCGGCCACACUGGAACUGAGACACGGCCCAGACUCCUACGGGAGGCAGCAGUAGGGAAUCUUCCGCAAUGGGCGAAAGCCUGACGGAGCAACGCCGCGUGAGUGAUGAAGGUCUUCGGAUCGUAAAACUCUGUUAUUAGGGAAGAACAAAUGUGUAAGUAACUAUGCACGUCUUGACGGUACCUAAUCAGAAAGUCACGGCUAACUACGUG